CGGCCAAUUGAAGAGCUCCGUCUCUGGAGCCCCGACCGGGAAGUCAAGAGCUGGUAAGGUUCUUCGCGUUGCCUCGAAUUAAACCACAAGCGGCGGAGCAUGUGGAUUAAUUCGAUGCAACGCGAAGAACCUUACCUGGGUUUGACAUAUACCGGAAAGCCGUAGAGAUACGGCCCCCCUUGUGGUCGGUAUACAGGUGGUGCAUGGCUGUCGUCAGCUCGUGUCGUGAGAUGUUGGGUUAAGUCCCGCAACGAGCGCAACCCUUGUCCUGUGUUGCCAGCGCGUAAUGGCGGGGACUCGCAGGAGACUGCCGGGGUCAACUCGGAGGAAGGUGGGGAUGACGUGCAGGAACACCAAC
rnacentral:misc_RNA from 1 species